GACGGAGGAUGCAAGCGUUAUCCGGAAUUAUUGGGCGUAAAGCGUCCGCAGGUGGCAGUUCAAGUCUGCUGUCAAAGACCGGGGCUUAACUUCGGAAAGGCAGUGGAAACUGAACAGCUAGAGUAUGGUAGGGGCAGAGGGAAUUCCUGGUGUAGCGGUGAAAUGCGUAGAUAUCGGAAGGAACAUCAGUGGCGAAGGCGACUUCCUGGACCAAUACUGACGCUCAGGUGCGAAAGCGUGGGGAGCAAACAGG
rnacentral:rRNA from 1 species